rnacentral:lncRNA from 12 species
GGCCUCACACAGUUGGUUUCUGUGCCCAGGACAAUGAAUGCCAAUACCCUCCAAAGGAACCCUUGAUGCAGGAAGGUGGCAGGACUUACAAAUCCAGUUUACACCCAAGGAGGAGAGGUCUUACAAGAAUGAGCUGAAGCUUAGCAUUUGUGGGAGCAGACAUCACUUAAAGCUGCACCUCUCAGGACAAGGUCUGGAGGCACGGUUGGAGAUCACCCCCCCAGAACAAAAGAUGGGAUGGUUGCUGGUGGACAGCGAUGAGGUGGAUGCCACAGUGGCAGUGAAGAACCCAUGCAACUUCCCUGCUGAGUUUUACUCACUGGAUUUCGAUGAGCAGUACCUUGAGGAGGAGGUGAGAAGGAAGGUCUGGUCCCCAUGUACAUGCUGCCCAAGCUUCACAGCACUCCAGCAUUCCCAGGGGAGGCACGGUUGGAGAUCACCCCCCCAGAACAAAAGAUGGGAUGGUUGCUGGUGGACAGCGAUGAGGUGGAUGCCACAGUGGCAGUGAAGAACCCAUGCAACUUCCCUGCUGAGUUUUACUCACUGGAUUUCGAUGAGCAGUACCUUGAGGAGGAGGUGAGAAGGAAGGUCUGGUCCCCAUGUACAUGCUGCCCAAGCUUCACAGCGCUCCAGCAUUCCCA